rnacentral:rRNA from 1 species
GAUCAUGGCUCAGAACGAACGCUGGCGGCAGGCUUAACACAUGCAAGUUGAACGGGAUUUGUGUGGUGCUUGCACCAUAUAAUGAGAGUAGCGCACUGGUGAGUAACACGUGGGAACGUACCUUUUGGUGGGGGACAACAUCUGGAAACGGAUGCUAAUACCGCAUAAGACCUGAGGGUGAAAGAUUUAUCGCCGAAAGAACGGCCCGCGGAAGAUUAGGCAGUUGGUGGGGUAAAGGCCUACCAAAACCUACG